UGGCGGACGGGUGAGUAAUGUCUGGGAAACUGCCCGAUGGAGGGGGAUAACUACUGGAAACGGUAGCUAAUACCGCAUAACGUCGCAAGACCAAAGCGGGGGACCUCCGGGCCUCGCGCCAUCAGAUGAACCCAUAUGGGAUUAGCUAGUAGGUAAGGUAACGGCUUACCUAGGCGACGAUCCCUAGCUGGUCUGAGAGGAUGAUCAGCCACACUGGGACUGAGACACGGCCCAG
rnacentral:rRNA from 1 species